ensembl:lncRNA
CUGGGUAGUGGAUGUCGAUCAGGCACAGUCUUUUUGUUCAGGAGGCGAUAAUCAAUACAAAGACGUAGGCUGCCAUCCUUCUUCCUAACACAGACAACUGGGGCAGCAUAUGGGGACUUGGAUUUAACAAUCCAGCCCCUCAUCAGGAGCUCCUGCACGUACUCCUUUACCUCUUUAAACAGUGGCUUCGGGACUGCUGAGUAUGCUCUCUGUACAGGUAUCUCAUCUGUGAGGGUAAUCGACAUUUGUAAGCUUGGUAUGCAUCCAAUAUCAUCGCUGUCACGUGCGAAAGCCCCGGCUUCUUCACACAGCAUUUUGUUGACUUUUUCCCUUUGUUUAUCAUCAAGGUGACUGAGGUCGAUGGGAGGUUGCCAUGAUGAUGGAUGGGCGUCAACAGGGGUCGAUACAGCACUGUAAACAGUCACAGUGGGCUCGGAUGCUUCAGGUGAGUCUGUUGCGAUCACUUUUUCAACACAGUGGAUGCUGCCAAGUGCUGUCUUUCUUGGGAGAGUUACUGCAUGUUUAGUGUUGUUACCCACAGGUACAGCUACAUAAGGUUUUCUUGGAUUUUGUACCUCCAACAGACCUUCACCCACGUCCAGUUCUGUCAACUGCACAUUGUCGUCAUCAGGCUCAAAAAGGAAGACUGUGUCAUUUGUACUCAUGUGGGGAGGGACUUGGCACUUGACCCAGGCUACCUGACCUGCUGGGAUAACCAUGUCCUGUCUGCCUGUCCGUAGGAGCCCGCACUGCACAGAGGGUUUACUGGCUUGGAUGAAGCUCACCAUUAGCUCUGCCUUCUCUGCUGCACGUUGAAACCCAACAGUGGUCUCUCCAGAGCAAGACUGCUGACAAGAAAAGGCACAGUGAUUGACAGAUUAGGGUCCUCAUUUCCCAUCAAAUUGACUGUAAGGGCAACCCAGCCAUCAAAAGGGAGGACAUCACCGUUCACUGCAUACACCCUUAACUCGUCUUCAUCACCUAUAAUGUCACUGAGUGCCCUAACAGGAGUGUCAGGUAGAUAUUUACUCUUCCAGUCUCUAUCAAUCAUACUGACUUGAGCCCCAGUGUCUAGCAGAGCACUGACUGCUAAUCCAUUUAGGUUACAAUGGGUGAGAGCCUUCCUUCCAAUGAGUUUGGCUAGACGUUCCCUUUUGCUGUGAGGUAAGUCAUAAGUGAAUGGAUUGGUUGUCUUGUUUGGUUGUUUCCGUCUCUUUUCCAUUAUUUUGUCUUUUACCAGUCUUUCAAUUCCAGGUUGAUCAGUACGACAAGUGUCAGGUUGGGACGAUCGCUGAGACCCGGUCACUGUUUGUCCCUCGGCAGGGACCGGCUCCAG